ACUGGGCACCAUAGCACAUGCCUGUAGUUCCAGCUACUCGGGAGGCUGAGAUAGGAGGAUUGCUUGAGUCCAGGAGUUCUGGCCUGUAGUCUGCUAAACCGAUCAGGUGUCCGCACUAAGUUUGGCAUCAAUAUGGUGACCUCUGGGAGCGAGGGACCACCAGGUUGCCUAAGGAGGGGUGAACCGGCCCAGGUCAGAAAUGGAACAGGUCCAAACUCCCAUGCUGAUCAAGGAAAAAAGGCAGGAUUUUCUUAUUUUUGAAGGUUGCCCUAUGAAUCAGCACUUAA
ensembl:misc_RNA Metazoa_SRP Metazoan signal recognition particle RNA